UUUGAAAGACAAUUUUAUUUGGAAAAGGAAGUCUUAGCUUUACUCCCAACUGCCCCACCAUAGUGCAAGCUGCACCCUUCUGGUUACCGCUAGAACUGAGCUUUCGCUCGCCGUCCACCACUGCUGUUUUGCUGCCGUCGCAGACCCGCCGCUGACUUCCAUCCCUCCAAUCCAGCAGGGCGCCCGCUGUGCUCCUGAUCCAGGGAAGCACCCGUUGCCACUCCUGAUCGCGCUAAAGGCUUGCCAUUGUUCCUGCAUGGCUAAGUGCCUGGUUUCGUCCUAAUCAAGCUGAACACUAGUCACUGGGUUCCACGGUUCUCUUCCGUGACCCACGACUUCUAAUAGAGCUAUAACACUCACCGCACGGCCCAAGAUUCCAUUCCUUGGAAUCCGUGAGGCCAAGAACCCCAGGUCAGAGAACACGAGGCUUGCCACCAUCUUGGAAGUGGCCUGCCGCCAUUUUGGAAGUGGCCCACCACCAUCUUGGGAGCUCUGGGAGCAAGGACCCCUGGCAUCUGGAUAUUAAGACUGUCUCCAGCCCUUUGAGGUUGAGAGAGGAAGCAAGCACGGAGGAAUGGAUUUGACAACCCACAUGUCCGUGACUCAAAGCAAGCAAGGCCUUGCACAACCAACUCGCCACCCACACAAUCUGCACAGUCUCAGUGAGAAAGCAGGAGCAGGGAGCUCUCCGCUGAGAGUGAAGAAAUGUCCUCAACUCGACUUCUCUGCAGUGUGCAUGUGUGUGAAACACAGACACACACGGGAGGAAUUUGGCUCUGUCAUUUUAGUGUACCAAAGAAAAAAAAACAGGGAGAAAUCACUUGUUUGAAGCCCUAAAUGACAUAAGGAAGAUUUUCCCAGAUCUAAAUAAUGAUCCCUAAGGUCAGGUGCUGUGUAUGGUAUGGAUUUGGAAACUUCAUAAUGUCUCUGACCACCACUCCAGGACACUGCAGACAGGUGUGCAUUUACUCAGCAUCCAGUAAACACCUGCAAGGUGCAGAGUACUACACUAGGCACAGGGAACAGAGCUACUGACUGACUGCCAGAGUUUCGAAGAAUACAGAUAAGUCAACUAUUAAAGCUAGGAAACAGACCGGAUGCGGUGGCUCACGCCUGUAAUCCCAGCACUUUGGAAGACCGAGGCGGGUGGAUCAACUGAGGUCAAGAGUUCAAGACCAGCCUGCCAACAUGGUGAAACUCCGUCCCUAUUAAUAAUACAAAAAAAUUAGCUGGGCAUGGUGGCACAUGCCUGUAAUCCCAGCUAUUCGGGAGGCUGAGGCAGGAGAAUUGCUUGAACCCAGGAGGCUGCAGUGAGCUGAGAUCGCGCCAUUGCACUCCAGCCUGGGCAACAAGAGCGAAACUCUGCCUCCAAUAAAUAAAUAAAUAAAAUAAAAUAAAAUAAAAUAAAGCCAUAAAACAGUAAAGCCAGUCGUUUUUGCCUCAAAUACUCCUCCAAUUCAUCACCUCCUCUCUAUCUCCAUGGCCACCAUCAUCUCUCCCUGGAAAUGCUGCGAGAUCCCUCUAACUAGACUUUCCACAAUUAACUUCCACAUGACCACCAAAGGCAUGCCAUUCUCCUGCUUACACCCUUCCUGGGUGUUAUGGAUUGAAUUAUGGCCCCCGAAGUCAUAUGUUGAAGCCAUAACACCCCUCAAUGUGACUACAUGGAGAGAGGUCCUUUAAGGAGGUAGUUAAGGUUAAAUAAGGUCAUCAGAUGGGGCCCUAAUCCAAUAGGACUUGUGUAUUUUAUUUUUAUUAUUUUUUAGACUCAGUUUCGCUCUGUUGCCCAGGCUAGAGUGCAGUGGCAU
rnacentral:lncRNA from 10 species